rnacentral:rRNA from 1 species
AGUAAUGGCGAAUGAAAGGAGAUGUGCUUAGUGUCAAAAUCAGAUUACUCUGACUUGUAGGCUGUAGGGGCUUUGCCAACUUGGGUGCAGGUGCAAGUCUCUUGGAAAGGAGCACCAGUGAGGGUCAAGGUCCCGUCUGGCAUCUGUCAUCCCUCGUAGACGGUUUGCCCAUUGAGAGUCGUGUUCUUCUGGAGUAGAGCGCUAAUUGGGUGGUACUCUUUGCCCAAGGAGGAUUACGUGCUUGAGACCAAUAGUGAACAAGUACCAUGAGGGAAGGGUGAAAAGGACUUUGGAAAGAGGGUUAAGAGGGCAUGAAGCUGCUGGAAGGGAAGUGGAUUGGACUUUUACAUCGCAGUAAGAUUGCAGGCUGUGAUUUCCACUUGUGGGACAUCGCGUGCUGUGUCUCUUGCUGCUCGGUUGGGUUUUGCGUUGUGCCCGAAAUCUCAGCUUUGACUGGAAGAAGGUUUGCGAACUGGACCAUGUCAUUGCCAUCUUUUGGCGCAGCAUGCAACCUUGACCAAAAGGUUCAAUUUUACCCGUCUUGAAACACGGACCAAGGAGUCUAUUGCGUGUGCAAGUGUAAGGGCUUCACACCUGACAGCUCAACAAAGGUGACUGCUGGGACCUCUGCACCAGCAACCAACUGAUCGCUUAGGAGAUGUUUGUGUAUGAGCACACUUGCUAGGACCCGAAAGGUGGUGAACUAUGCCUGAGAAGGGUGACGUCAGGGGAAACUCUGAUGGAAGCUCGUAGCGCUACUGACGUGCAAAUCGUUCGUCUGACUUGGGUAUAGGG